rnacentral:rRNA from 1 species
GACGAACGCUGGCGGCGUGCUUAACACAUGCAAGUCGAACGGAAAGGCCCUGCUUUUGUGGGGUGCUCGAUUGGCGAACGGGUGAGUAACACGUGAGUAACCUGCCCUUGACUUUGGGAUAACUUCAGGGAACUGGGGCUAAUACCGGAUAGGAGCUCCUGCUGCAUGGUGGGGGUUGGAAAGUUUCGGCGGUUGGGGAUGGACUCGCGGCUUAUCAGCUUGUUGGUGGGGUAGUGGCUUACCAAGGCUUUGACGGGUAGCCGGCCUGAGAGGGUGACCGGCCACAUUGGGACUGAGAUACGGACCAGACUCCUACGGGAGGCAGCAGUGGGGAAUAUUGCACAAUGGGCGGAAGCCUGAUGCAGCAACGCCGCGUGCGGGAUGACGGCCUUCGGGUUGUAAACCGCUUUCGCCUGUGACGAAGCGUGAGUGACGGUAAUGGGUAAAGAAGCACCGGCUAACUACGUG